rnacentral:rRNA from 1 species
AUGAACGCUGGCGGCGUGCCUAAUACAUGCAAGUCGCGCGAACAGACGAGGAGCUUGCUCCUCUGACGUAGCGGCGGACGGGUGAGUAACACGUGGAUAACCUACCUAUAAGACUGGGAUAACUUCGGGAAACCGGAGCUAAUACCGGAUAAUAUAUUGAACCGCAUGGUUCAAUAGUGAAAGACGGUUUUGCUGUCACUUAUAGAUGGAUCCGCGCCGCAUUAGCUAGUUGGUAAGGUAACGGCUUACCAAGGCAACGAUGCGUAGCCGACCUGAGAGGGUGAUCGGCCACACUGGAACUGAGACACGGUCCAGACUCCUACGGGAGGCAGCAGUAGGGAAUCUUCCGCAAUGGGCGAAAGCCUGACGGAGCAACGCCGCGUGAGUGAUGAAGGUCUUCGGAUCGUAAAACUCUGUUAUUAGGGAAGAACAAAUGUGUAAGUAACUAUGCACGUCUUGACGGUACCUAAUCAGAAAGCCACGGCUAACUACGUG